ACAUCCCGAUGCUAUUUCUUAGAGAUAGAAAGUUACUUCGGUACAUCGGUGGACAGGUGGUGCAUGGUUGUCGUCAGCUCGUGUCGUGAGAUGUUGGGUUAAGUCCGCAACGAGCGCAACCCCUAUUGUUAGUUGCCAUCAUUCAGUUGGGCACUCUAGCGAGACUGCCGGUAAUAAACCGGAGGAAGGUGGGGAUGACGUCAAAUCAUCAUGCCCCUUAUGACCUGGGCUACACACGUGCUACAAUGGUUGGUACAACGAGUUGCGAGUCAGUGACGGCGAGCUAAUCUCUUAAAGCCAAUCUCAGUUCGGAUUGUAGGCUGCAACUCGCCUACAUGAAGUCGGAAUCGCUAGUAAUCGCGGAUCAGCACGCCGCGGUGAAUACGUUCCCGGGCCUU
rnacentral:rRNA from 1 species